rnacentral:snRNA from 1 species
GCCACGAUCCACUGAGAUUCAGCCCUU